UCCCAGCACUAAAACCAGCCGGGGACUACAAACUACAUUUUAAAACUCAAAGAUCUUGGCGGUGUCUUACACACUCAGGGAAACCUGUCCCUUAAUUCGAUAUUCCACGAAUGCUCGAACCCUUCUCGAUACAUCAGCCUGUGUACUGCCGUCAUAUGUAUACCUCAGAGAGAAGUAUGCGCACUAGAGACACCCUACCAAAGUCAGGUCAAAGUGCAGCCUAUGAAGGGCCGGUGAUGGGUUACACUCCUAAUAAGGCCACCAAAGCUCCAAUCACUUUGAAAAUAGACACAAAAGCUGGACUUGAAAGUAAUGACAGGUACUAAACUAUCAUGAAGAGAUCCCUAAGACAUGUACAAAUCGCCCGUCACUCUCACCGAAAGGCG
rnacentral:rRNA from 1 species